GGUUUUGUAGUGUAGCGGUUAUCACUCCGGAUUCUGAUUCUGAUAUCAGAUGAUUUCCGGCAACCCCGGUUCGAUUCCGGGCAAGACCU
rfam:Cochliobolus heterostrophus C5 unplaced genomic scaffold COCHEscaffold_12, whole genome shotgun sequence.